GAAAAGCACUUAAAAGUUCUACACAAGCAUGAAGGUUAAAGAAAGCUUUAUUUUUUUAUUUUUAUUUUUUUUUUAAUGAAGGACUGAAAAAAAAAAAAAAAAGGAAUACUUUGGGAAAAGUAUAAAGAACGAGAAGUGAGUAGACUUAUGAAAAAGUUUAUAUCAUAAAGAAAGAAACAAUCUUCCAAGUGGGAACUAUGAACCUGUAAGAGUACUGAGAUCAAACACACUGGGACAAUUUUUCAUCAUAAAACUAAUGAUGCAGCCCAAAAAGAUGGAGGUAUUGUGAUAAAAGCUGCUAUUGUGAGAAAAUAACAUCUGAGAUUACUUUGUUAACCCAAAGUUUAAAUUUGCAUUGGUGGAGCCAGCAGAGAAGUAUCUGUCAGAAUCCCACAAGGAAAAGGACCAUGGCAUGGGAUGCAGUUUCCUUUCAAAUCAACUGUUGAAUUUAUUUCUGGCUGUGCUUAAGGAACUCAUGCUAACAGUCCAUUCAGAGGCUGAGAAACAAGGAAAGAGCAGCACACCAUAAACAAAGGUCAGGGGCAGACUGGUGCACUGUGCCCACAACCAGAGUUGCUGCUUGACACAAAUCCCACAAC
rnacentral:lncRNA from 1 species